UCAGGUGAUCCACCCGCCUUGGCCUCCCAAAGUGCUGGGUUUACAGGUGUGAGCCACCACACCUGGCUGCGCUUCUUGUUUCACUAGCUUUCGAGUUCAAGUCUUGGGUUUGAAAGCUGGUUCCGAAAGGAGUCAGAAGACCCCCAGCUCUUCCUCUUGAGCCCAAAUUCUUCGGCCCAUCCAUCCCUGGCUCCACUGGGCUUCUCCCAGAACCUGCCACACAUUCUGGCUUUCCUACUACCAGAAGUGGGCAGGGACUCCAGAUAUCACUGAGCAGUUAGGAAACCAAAGGAGAACCACCUGGAGGACUGGACCUGCCACACGCCUGUCGCUCCUGCCAGUACCGGCUCUAAGGGACCUGCCUUCCUUCUGCUCUGAAUCCUCCUCCCUCGUGUCCUGCCGGGCUCCACGGAGAAGCAAGAGGGACGAUGGCACAGCUGCACACCCAAACCUGUGGGUCACAGGGGGCUCCAUUCCCCUAACCAUCAGAUAGUCGCUUACAUCCCAUGGAUAUAAACUUUCAAGAAAUAAAAUUAAGGUUAUCUUUCUCUAUUCAGCUUACAAAUGGUUCAGCUGACUCUGCAGCCCUGCUGCACCCCUCUUCAUUUGACAGACACAGAUGCUGCUUUACUUACAAUGGGGCUACGUCCCAAUAAGCCCAUCCUAAGCUGAAAAUAUCAUAAGUCAAAAACUGAUAUAGCUAACCUACCAAACAUCACAGCUUAGCCUACCUUAAACAUGCUUAGAACACUGACGUUAGCCUACAGUUGGGAAAAUCAUCUAACACAAAGCCUAUUUUAUGACAAACUCAUGACUAUCUCAUGUAAUUUAUUGAAAACGUACUGAAAGUGAGAAACAGAAUGGUUGUAUGGGUGCUCCAAAUGUGGUUUCUACUGAACAUGUACUGUUUUUGCACCAUCAUAAAGUCAAAAACUUGUAAGUGAAACCAUUGUAAGCUGGGAACCAUCUGUGCUGGUUUUGUCACACUACUUACUGUGUGAUUUAGGCAAGUCUUCUAUGUAAUUCUAAGUUGUUUGGGGGAAUGUCAUAUGAACAGACUUAUCUCCACUUCAACAUGAGCUGAGGUAGCUUUCCUGGUUCUAGGCAACUGAAAUAAGGGAAAUAAAACUCUGGGGACUGAAUUCUGCCAGUUCUAUAAAACAGUAUCAAACCUCUACUGACAGCCUUGGAGGAGGAUGACCGGCAAGAUUUGAACAGCCACCAAGCGCCACCAAGCUCCCCCAACCACCUGCAUGCACCUGCCUUCAUCUCUUCUGGGCCCUUCCAUGGGUGCCAGUGGAGCAGGGCUUCUUCAAAGCAGCUCUCAGCACCUUUGCCUUUUCCCCUUGACCCUUUUCUUAGGGGGAGUGAAGCGUACUUUUUAGAAGUACUAUUUCUGCUAGAAGAAAUAAAAGCUGUAAGUAUGCUCCUUAA